GAACUUUUGAUACCUUUUCUGAAAUUCUCCCGUCAUUAAAUCUUUUACAAAAUUCAUUGAUUACAAAAAAAAAAGAAGAUGUGGUAUGAUUGCCAUGUUGAGACAACUCUCCACAAGAGACCAAUAUGACACAGAUAUUAACACCUAUAGGUUACCGUACGACCUUCAACAACGAGCAAAGCCCAUACCGCAUACUCAGCUUUAAAAGGCCCCGAACUGACAAUGUAAAACAAUUCAAACCAGAAAACUAGCGACCUUAUUUAUGUACAAAAAAAUGAACGAAAAACAAAUAUAUAACACAUAAACAAAUAACAACCACUGAAUUACAGGCUCCUUACUUGAAUGUUCAUAACAUACUAAAUGUAUGUUCAUAUUGAAAUUGAUAGAAAACCAAAAAGUGGGAAUAUUGGAAAUAAAGGAUGAGGGA
rnacentral:lncRNA from 1 species